CCUACGGGAGACAGCAGUAAGGAAUAUUGGUCAAUGGAGGCAACUCUGAACCAGCCAUGCCGCGUGAAGGAUGAAGGCCCUAUGGGUCGUAAACUUCUUUUGUACGGGAAAAAACCCUUUUACGUGUAAGAGGUUGAUGGUACCGUAAGAAUAAGGAUCGGCUAACUCCGUGCCAGCAGCCGCGGUAAUACGGAGGAUCCAAGCGUUAUCCGGAUUCAUUGGGUUUAAAGGGUGCGUAGGCGGCUUAUUAAGUCAGCGGUGAAAGCCUGGAGCUUAACUCCAGAACUGCCAUUGAUACUGAUGAGCUUGAGUACACUUGAAGUGGGCGGAAUGUGUCGUGUAGCGGUGAAAUGCUUAGAUAUGACACAGAACACCGAUUGCGAAGGCAGCUCACUAAAUUGUAACUGACGCUGAGGCACGAAAGCGUGGGGAUCAAACAGGAUUAGAUACCCUGGUAGUCCACGCCGUAAACGUUGAUAACUCGAUGUGUGCGAUAUACAGUACGCGUCUAAGCGAAAGCAUUAGUAUCCNCGNGGAGAGAGUGNAGAUUAGUAUUANAAGAGUUGNGNGNGNGAGNGCGAGACGACGACGAGGAGGAGG
rnacentral:rRNA from 1 species